rnacentral:rRNA from 1 species
AUUGAACGCUGGCGGCAGGCCUAACACAUGCAAGUCGAGCGAGCGGCGGACGGGUGAGUAAUGUCUGGGAAACUGCCUGAUGGAGGGGGAUAACUACUGGAAACGGUAGCUAAUACCGCAUCCUGAUGGAUGAACCCACGGUGCAUGAGCUAGUUGGUGAGGUAACGGCUCACCAAGGCCACGAUGCAUAGCCGACCUGAGAGGGUGAUCGGCCACACUGGGACUGAGACACGGCCCAGACUCCUACGGGAGGCAGCAGUGGGGAAUAUUGCACAAUGGGCGCAAGCCUGAUGCAGCCAUGCCGCGUGUGUGAAGAAGGCCUUCGGGUUGUAAAGCACUUUCAGCGGGGAGGCGUUACCCGCAGAAGAAGCACCGGCUAACUCCGUGCCAGCAGCCGCGGUAAUAC